rnacentral:pre_miRNA from 1 species
AAUGGAAAAAUGUCAAAUCAGAUUUUUCUUAUUGAUUUUCAGUUUUUUUCUCUUGAAAAAAAUUUAAAUCCAAUUAAAAAUGCUGAAAAUCAAAGGAAAAUUUUGAUUUGUUAUUCUCCCAUU